rnacentral:rRNA from 1 species
CUCCUACGGGAGGCAGCAGUGGGGAAUAUUGCACAAUGGGCGAAAGCCUGAUGCAGCGACGCCGCGUGAGGGAUGACGGCCUUCGGGUUGUAAACCUCUUUCAGCAGGGAAGAAGCGAAAGUGACGGUACCUGCAGAAGAAGCGCCGGCUAACUACGUGCCAGCAGCCGCGGUAAUACGUAGGGCGCAAGCGUUGUCCGGAAUUAUUGGGCGUAAAGAGCUCGUAGGCGGCUUGUCACGUCGGUUGUGAAAGCCCGGGGCUUAACCCCGGGUCUGCAGUCGAUACGGGCAGGCUAGAGUGUGGUAGGGGAGAUCGGAAUUCCUGGUGUAGCGGUGAAAUGCGCAGAUAUCAGGAGGAACACCGGUGGCGAAGGCGGAUCUCUGGGCCAUUACUGACGCUGAGGAGCGAAAGCGUGGGGAGCGAACAGGAUUAGAUACCCUGGUAGUCCACGCCGUAAACGGUGGGCACUAGGUGUUGGCGACAUUCCACGUCGUCGGUGCCGCAGCUAACGCAUUAAGUGCCCCGCCUGGGGAGUACGGCCGCAAGGCUAAAACUCAAAGGAAUUGACGGGGGCCCGCACAAGCAGCGGAGCAUGUGGCUUAAUUCGACGCAACGCGAAGAACCUUACCAAGGCUUGACAUACACCGGAAACGGCCAGAGAUGGUCGCCCCCUUGUGGUCGGUGUACAGGUGGUGCAUGGCUGUCGUCAUCUCGUGUCGUGAGAUGUUGGGUUAAGUCCCGCAUCGAGCGCAACCCUUGUUCUGUGUUGCCAGCMUGCCCUUCGGGGUGAGGGGACUACAURAWACUA